rnacentral:rRNA from 1 species
CACGUAGGGGGCAAGCGUUGUCCGGAUUUAUUGGGCGUAAAGAGCUCGUAGGCGGCUUGGUAAGUCAGGUGUGAAACCCCCGGGCUCAACCCGGGGACGCCACCUGAUACUGCUAUGGCUUGAGUCCGGUAGGGGAGCGUGGAAUUCCUGGUGUAGCGGUGAAAUGCGCAGAUAAUCAGGAGGAACACCAGCGGCGAAGGCGG